GUCUCGUUGGUGACCAGCGGA
rnacentral:rRNA from 1 species